UUCUAAACUUUUUUAUAUUAGAGUUCAGAUUUCAUGUACAUUUUCUUUAAAGGUACAUUUUAUAACACAAGGAUUUGAUUCUUUUGAAGCCCCAGCAGCAGCCCUCGACAUGUUUCGGAGUGAGAAUGUCACUAAGACGCAAAUGCAUUCCCAGUGGUCUUUUAAUUAUGAUUUUGCCGUUUUUGGCCUAAAUCAAAAAACCUGUGUUGUUUUCUUGGACAUAGUUUUUGCAGAGUAACAGGAGUUCAUUAGACAUUCAGUACGUCUUGUCUUAUCUUAUUCUUUUACCUUUUCUUUUCUAGGGGGGUGACCAGGAGGCUCCUCAUCUCUGGGACACGUUCCUUUCACUCUAGCUGCUCUGGAGGAGCUUCCAGAAAGUUUGGAUGCCGCCCCUGCAGGUAUCCUGCUCAGCCCCAUUGAUAAGACCCCCGGGAUUUGGAGCAAUUUGCAACCUUGAGACAAACAAACACCGGCCUCUGGAGGCUCACGCAGCGUCUGUGAGGGAAGAACAGACGAGGAUUUUGUCUUUGUUCACAGGCGAGGCUUCUCUGAUGGUUGCCAUGGAGACCAGACUCAUUUCUGCUGUCUGAUAAAGAGCAGGCGGUCCACUGGAGCACGCGCCCGCUCACUGACACACUGACACACUUGCUGCCACCAGCAGGAUCCAUCUUUAACACACGUCUAAGCCCCAUCUGUGACAUGAGGGGGUGUUUCUGCAGAAGAACAGGUCCAGUUUCCUCUUCUCCCGCUGAAGUUGCUGCAGGUUUUAGCCUCGACUGGAAAGCCUGACUUCCUUCGUGAAGGACGUGAGCAGAAUCGAGCUGCAGAGAAGGCUGAGGGGGAUUCUGCAUGUCUCCUCUGACCUACAUUCACUCUAUUUUCUGUGACCUCUACGUGCAGAAAGCAUUACAUGAUGAUUAUGUGCGUGCAGACAUGUGGGCUCAGAUACACCCGGUGUCUGCACACUGCAGCUACUUGAUCAGUGGUUUGAAUCCAAGGCUGGACGCCGUUUUGUUUCAAAAUGAAAAAUCUCAAUGAAUUUUUAUCACUGCAUAUUAAUGUAACCCUUAUAUUGUGUUUGGGUCAAAACUGACCUGUUUUCACUGUUGAAAAUGGCUGCAUUGUUAGGCAGUAGCGGGAAGAGUCUUGCCUAAGGACCCACACUGGAUUCAGCUGAUUGCUCCCCAACUGGAAAUUAAACCCUGGUUCAUCAUACACUAGUCCUACAUGCAGCCUACAAAGGCAUAUACCACUCAAAUCCCUGCAUCUCAUGUAUAAAACUAGGAAGGACCAAAGCUACAGUUCCAGAUGUCCACUACAGACUGGUUUCAAAUACAAAACAUUUGCUACAGACUAAAAUGUUAAAAAUGUUACAACAAAAAUCAACUAAUGUACAACCUUGUUUAUUUUUACAUUUAUUUUUCCUACUUAUGCCAAGGGCACGAUUUUUAAUUUAAUUAAAUUGUAUCUAUUUUUUUAAUGUGAGCACUCACUUUCACCAUUAGACUCCUCUGAUGGAAUGUUGAUCCAGCUAAAAAGGCCACUUCCUGUUUGGGCAGCAGAGAAAAGUCAUUGGAGCCAGAACAAUUCACCAGCUAACCACCAGGUGGCUUGUUAUACAAGCAGAUCAAUCCCUGCUCUCUCCAAAGUAAAUCAGACAAAACUCAAAUCCAAAAUAAACUCACUGACUCUGUGAUGGUAAAACUUUUAUUUUGUUAACUCCAGAGCCUUUGCAGACGACAGCAAAAAAAUAAAUAAUUCUUUGAACAACUGGAACUCUUUGACCUUUAUGCAAUUUACGUUAUUCCAACAGAUUCUUAUACUGCAAAAGCGGCAAAGCUUUUUUUCGUGUCAGAAUCAGCUGAUUGACGUUCAUUGCAUAAACACUUCACUACUGUAAAGCGUUGCAAAUCAACGCAAGGCUGCGCUUCUCCUCUUUAGAAUCCUCUGGAAUUACAUUAAUCGUGUAGAUAGUUGAAGAGUUACCGUAGUUAAAAAAAACACUAGAGCUACAGCUCUGAUGGUAAAGGUUUCAUGUUCUGCAGCUGGAAUUGGUCCCUCAGCUCUGGUUAAUCUCAACGGACAUCACAUCAGAUAAGACCAAGAUGGCAACAAUGACCGAACUGAAACGCUGUCUUAAAAUCAGCCCAAAACAAACCACUGAGUGAUGCCGCACAGUUUAUGUCUUUGUAUUCACGUUAAUCUGUCACUGUACGUCAAGAUAAUUCAGAUCUACAUAACAAAGAAAGCAGAACUUACUUAAUUAUUGAAAGUUUCAAUUUAUGAAUAGUUUCACCGUUAACGUAAACAUUUGUGUGUGAGCUGUGUGUGAGCUGUGUGUUAAUUGUGUGUGACCUGUGUGCUAGUUGUGUGUGAGUUGUGAGUUAGUUGUUUGUGAGCUGUGUGUGAGUUGUGUGUCAGCUGUGUGUGAGUUGUGAGUUAGUUGUUUGUGAGCUGUGUGUGAGUUGUGUGUGAGUGUGAGUUAGUUGUGAGUUAGUUGUGUGUUCGUUGUGUGCGAGCUGUGUGUGAGCUGUGUGUGAGUUGUGUGUGAGUGUGAGUUAGUUGUCGGUCAGAUGUGUGUGAGUUGUGUGUGAGUGUGAGUUAGUUGUCGGUCAGAUGUGUGUGAGUUGUGUGUGAGCUGUGUGUGAGUUGUGUGUGAGUUGUGUGUGAGUGUGGGUUAGUUGUGUGUGAGUUGUGUGUCAGCUGUGUGUGAGUGUGAGUUAGUUGUGUGUCAGCUGUGUGUGAGUGUGAGUUAGUUGUGAGUUAGUUGUGUGUCAGCUGUGUGUGAGCUGUGGAUGCUGGUUCCACAGAGUUUCUAUGUGCACAGCUGCACCUGCAGGGCCUCCAUACCAACAAAGAGCUGGAAGCUGAACCCACAUGGGACACUCCCCCUCUUCCUCCUCCUCGUCUUCACUUUAUUUUCCACACAACAAUCAGGUCAAGGGUCAAGGUGGUGUGUUUGUGUACGAAUACUUUUCGUAAACACAACUUAGCUGGUAACAUCCCUUAAUUGUCAUGGUGACAGCAGGGCACUGGAUCUAACAUCAGCAAAGAUUCAUUGGCUGUUAAGUAUUGUAUUUACUCCUCCACAAUGUUUACAUGCUAUAAAUGAGGGAAAUAAAAUGUAAAACUGUUUACGUAGUUAGGUGCUCAUCCAAAGGUUAAAAGCUAACCAAGUUAGCUAACUAAGUUUAAUGCUGAUGUGAAGACUAAGGUUGUGUCUGAAUUCCUUCACUACGCACUACAUAGUACACUAUGUAGUGCGUUCACCAUUCUGUAGCACUGUCUGAAUCGACAAUUCCAAAAAACGAGUGCCCUAGAAAUUUCCCAGAAGUCUCUGUGAAAAAUAAAGACCACUGUGCAUUGUGUUUGCAAGAUUUUUGCAACGUUUUCAUCUUCAGAACACAGUAGAAUUAUAAAUGAUCAUUGCAAAACGCUCAAAUCAACUAGAUUUUCACUUUGUAAAAUCGAUGAAGUGAUAUUUGCUUUAAAAAAAUUUUAAAAAGCAGUGAGCUUGGUGACUGAACUGCUUUUCAAGUCCAGUCCACUCGAUAGUUCGGCACCAUCUCGUUUUUUCAGGGGUUAGGGAGGGAAUUUGGACACAGCAGCCAUGAACUUCUGUUUACACGAUGGGAGUGAAACUCAUAUCUGUCCGAUCAUUUUCACAAACACACAUAGAAAAACACGCUGCAUCCUGCUUUUUUGGCGCUCUUUGUGUCUUUAGGCUGCAUUGUGGGCAUUGAUUUGUGCUUUCAGCUCUGACUGCAGGGGAACCUGAUCAGGAUAACGCUAAAAAUACCUCUUCCUUCCUCUCAGUCAGAACCUCGCAUCACAUCCUGUCCAACGCAGUGGAGCUUCAUCCUCACUCAUCUUAACUUUCCUCAAAAGCCUCUUUACAAAUUUUGUCAUCUGCUGAAACAGAUGUUAGAUUUAUUGAAAGAAAUUUAAGGGAAUUCUUUUUUUUACCAAUUUCAAUAACCAAAUUGUUUUAUGUUAGAUUUAACUUCUAAAUGUUUCUAAAACUCAUUUCAGAGAGGAUUUUAGAACAAAAAAAACAUUAUUUUUCGACACUUUUAAGUUGUUUCAGUGACCAACUACAGUUUUGUUUAAAUAACUGAUGAGAACCAACAGUUUUUCUAUGUCUACAUAUGUAAUCAACCAAUUUGCAGAGUGAGGAUCUCCAGUUCUUCUUUUUCUUCUGUGAACAUUUUUUUAAUUGCAGUGUUGGAGGAUCUUGCUGCUGCUUUAAUCCUGAAAAUAAUCCAAAGAAAUCAAAAAAUAGUAAAUAAUCUCAUCAAACAUGACAAAAGCCCUACAUUACAUUCAUUUACAGUCACUUUUAGUUCCACAUAU
ensembl:lncRNA